GACGAACGCUGGCGGCGUGCCUAAUACAUGCAAGUAGAACGCUGAAGGAGGAGCUUGCUUCUCUGGAUGAGUUGCGAACGGGUGAGUAACGCGUAGGUAACCUGCCUGGUGGCGGGGGAUAACUAUUGGAAACGAUAGCUAAUACCGCAUAAGAGUAGAUGUUGCAUGACAUUUACUUAAAAGGUGCAAUUGCAUCACUACCAGAUGGACCUGCGUUGUAUUAGCUAGUUGGUGAGGUAACGGCUCACCAAGGCAACGAUACAUAGCCGACCUGAGAGGGUGAUCGCCCCACCGGGGACUGAGAACCGGCCCAGACUCCUAGGGGGGGAAGCAGUGGGGAAUUUUCGGCAAUGGACGGAAGGCUGACCGAGCAACGCGGGGUGAGUGAAGAAGGUUUUCGGAUCGUAAAGCUCUUUUGUAAGGGAAAAAGGGGUGUGAGGGGGGAAAGUUCAAACUGUGCGGGUUUUUUACAAGAAAGGGGCGGCUAACUACUG
rnacentral:rRNA from 1 species